rnacentral:rRNA from 1 species
CAGCCCCUCGAGUGGUGGGGAUGAUUAUUUGGCCUAAAGCGUCCGUAGCCGGCCGUGUAAGUCCCCCGUUAAAUCCAGCGUCUCAAGCGUUGGACUGCGGGAGAUACUGCUCGGCUAGAGAGUGGGAGAGGUGUGCGGUAUUCUGGGGGUAGGGGCGAAAUCCUUUGAUCCCCGGAGGACCACCAGUGGCGAAGGCUGCACACUAGAACACGUCUGACGGUGAGGGACGAAAGCUGGGGUAGCGAAUCGGAUUAGAUACCCGAGUAGUCC